rnacentral:rRNA from 1 species
GAUGAACGCUGGCGGCGUGCCUAAUACAUGCAAGUCGAACGAGGCGCUUUUUGUAGCAAUACGAGGAGCGUCCUAGUGGCGAACGGGUGAGUAACGCGUGGGUGACCUGCCCCAAAGUGUGGGAUAACAGUCCGAAAGGAUUGCUAAUACCGCAUGUGGUCGCUGAGUUUAGAAGUUAGCGACUAAAGCAGCAAUGCGCUUUGGGAGGGACCUGCGUCCCAUCAGCUAGUUGGUAAGGUAACGGCUUACCAAGGCGACGACGGGUAGGGGACCUGAGAGGGUGGCCCCCCACAAUGGAACUGAAACACGGUCCAUACACCUACGGGUGGCAGCAGUAGGGAAUAUUGCACAAUGGGCGAAAGCCUGAUGCAGCAACGCCGCGUGCGCGAAGAAGGUCCUUCGGAUCGUAAAGCGCUUUUCUAAGAGAUGAGAAAGGACAGUAUCUUAGGAAUAAGUCUCGGCUAACUACGUGCCAGCAGCCGCGGUAAUGUCUAG